CCAGAUAGCUCAGUUGGUAGAGCACCUGACUAGAGAUUCGGGGGCCCCGGGUUAAUUCGAAUCCCGGUCUGG
rnacentral:tRNA from 1 species